UACAGAGGUCUCAAGCGUUGUUCGGAUUCAUUGGGCGGAAAGGGCGCGUAGGCGGCGGGGUCAGUCGGGUGUGAAAUCUUGGGGCUUAACCCCGAAACGGCACUCGAAACUGCCCGGCUGGAGGGCCGGAGAGGAGAUCGGAAUUCACGGUGUAGCAGUGAAAUGCGUAGAGAUCGUGAGGAAGACCCGUGGCGAAGGCGGAUCUCUGGACGGCUAACUGACGCUGAGGCGCGAAGGCCAGGGGAGCAAACGGG
rnacentral:rRNA from 1 species